GACGUAGGGCGCGAGCGUUGUCCGGAUUUAUUGGGCGUAAAGAGCUCGUAGGCGGCUUGUCGCGUCGACUGUGAAAUCCCGCGGCUCAACUGCGGGUCUGCAGUCGAUACGGGCAGGCUAGAGUUCGGUAGGGGAGACUGGAAUUCCUGGUGUAGCGGUGAAAUGCGCAGAUAUCAGGAGGAACACCGAUGGCGAGGGCAGGUCUCUGGGCCGAUACUGACGCUGAGGAGCGAAAGCGUGGGGAGCGAACAGG
rnacentral:rRNA from 1 species